AUUUUUCAAUAAUUGUCCAAAACUAAUAAGAAGAAAGAAGAAAAUAAACCAGAGGAGAAGAAACCCAAAGAGAAAAUUCCCAAGGUUAGGAAGCCCACUGUUAGAAAGAAAUCAGUGUCAGACAAAAAAAGCGCCGACCAGAAGAGCUCCAUUGCACAAAAGAAAGAGACAGAGGAAGUAUUCAAUGGGAAAAUGGCUCAACUUAUAAAUUUGAGAGCUAUCAAUUUCGGAUGCGCCUUCAAUAGUUGGAAUCCCAACGAAGCAUUCUACGGUCGAUCUGACGAGAAAGAAAUAUGCAAUUCAUUUGUUCAGAAGAGGGUUGACAAUCCACUAUUUGUUCCUGAUCAAAAUGACCAAAUGACUAUCAUAAGAAUGAAGUUUUAUAAGCUUCUCAGAAAAGAGACAUUCCUACCUAUAGAUGCGAUAGAAGAACACUGGAACGAUGAUGACGAAUUCUCAUGUGAAACAAGGAAUAGCUUGAAGGGUCAAGGUAUAGUUGAUUUUCUCUUACAAUCGACACUUUUCGCACUUUUGGAUGACCUGAUGUGCACUUCAGAAGAUUUGCCAGAAGCAUACAAAGAAACCGAAGAAUCUCUUGAACAGAGUAUGGUUUUCAUGAUAGAGGGCUUUCUGCAGAACGUCAAUGAAUCUGAAGAUAAGAACGAUUCCAAAGAAAUUAACGAAAACAAUGGCAAAUUCGAACAUGAUACUGAUGAGGAUGAAGUGGAAGAGGACAUUGAUUAUUCGGAAUCGGCUGAAAUGUCUGAUGUGGAAUCCUCUGUGUGUGACGAAAGCUCCGAUAGUGAGUAUUGCCAGUCCGAAGUGGAUGACGACCAGAUUGAAGUGAAAUCGAUCGAUAUGGACAAGUCACCAGAUGACAAGAAAGAUAUUCAGAACGAUUGUCCGGUUGCUUCAGCCAAUAAUGAAGACUUAUCAUGCACACCGAAGAGUCCUGUACAAAAUGGAGAAUGUUCAGAACAAUAUUCAACAGAGUCUGAUGAAACCCUUGUCUGCACUGAUGAAAAAAGCAAUGAUGUAAUAAUUCCUGAAAAGAUUAUGCUUGAGCAAUCAGUUCAGACCGAUGAUGAUGAAGAGAACUCGGCAAAGAAUGUGAUUGAAAACUUGAAGAAAAAAAUUGACCUAUUCAAUGAAAAUCUUUAUGAGAAAAAUGAAAAAAUCGAUGCCCUUAAAGUUGAAUUAUCGAAAAUCAGUUCGUUGAAUCAGAUUAUGCUUGAGCAAUCAGUUCAGACCGAUGAUGAUGAAGAGAACUCGGCAAAGAAUGUGAUUGAAAACUUGAAGAAAAAAAUUGACCUAUUCAAUGAAAAUCUUUAUGAGAAAAAUGAAAAAAUCGAUGCCCUUGAAGUUGAAUUAUCGAAAAUCAGUUCGUUGAAUCAGAAGUUGGAAAUUGAAAAUGGCAAGCUGUUGGAUCAGAAAGAAAAACUGAGUAAAAAAUUGACUAACCAAGCAACUUUAUUUCAAAAGAAGGAAGCUGAGCUGACAAAAGAAAUGGAUCUGACAGAAAAAUCCUGUCUGGAAAAACUAGCACUCCUUCAGAAUUACGUAGAAACACUGUUGAUGAAUUGCAAGGAGAAAUGCAGCGUUUAUGAACAGAAUCAAUCAAAACUGGAACAGGCUGUAGUUAUGUUGGAAAAAGAAAAUGCAAUGUUGAAAUUGCGCCAGUCUGAAUCAUCAGUGACAAGAACAUUAAAUAACAAUUAUUCAACAAACAAAAUUGAACUGGAAGAGGCAAGUAGAUCAGAGAGUGACGAAAAUGUUGAGGAUGAUGUUGAGGAACAUGUUGAGGAAGACGUUGCAGAAGAUUUUGAAGAAGAUGUUGAAGAAGACGUUCCAGAAGAUUUUGAAGAAGAUAUUGAGGAAAAUGUUGAAGAAGAUUUUGAGGAAAGUGCACAAGUGUAUGUUGAUGAUAGCGUAUACUCCAACCACUUGAUGAAUGGUCUGUCCUCAUCCGAGUCGACUCAGGAUGAAGUCGCCCAAAGUGAGGCAUUCGUCCUUUCCAAUUAUGUCGAGCCACAAGACGAAGGCAAUUGGGAAACCUCCAGCAGACAUUCCAGUCACUCCAAGUCGGACGUCGGAUCGUCGACUACCAGUAUCGUGAGAAAGAAGAAAUUCAAUCUCCUGAGGGAUUCACUUGUAAAACUAAACCCCGUUUGGACUGAAAGCGAAGUUGAGGAAUGUAUGCGAAUUGUAAGAGUUCGUAAUAAUAACUCUCUUACUGGAUUGCCAAUGACUGAAAUCUCCGCAAGAGUUCGCAUUUUAUUAGACGAGCGCUCUAGAAAACCAUGACAUAUUGUUACAUGCUCUUUAAUCUUGAAAUUACAAAUUGAAAUUGUAAUCUUAUCGGUGUCAUUUUCUGCCAGAAAAGUUCGAUUUUACGCACAAAAACUGGAAGAAGAGUCUUUCGGAGCAAGAUCGUCUGCACUAAACGCUACUCUGGGCUUGGAAAAGUUUACGAAGGUUGGCUGGUGUCAAAGCAAACCGACUGAUAAUAGUUGGUCCGGAAAUAUCGAGCUUGAAGACUGCAUCAUUUGCUCUGAAGAAAUAGAUAGGAAACAUCUCACCACUCUUGAAUGUCAUCAUUAUUUUCAUACAGAGUGCAUCCGGAAGUGGCUUAAAGAGAAGAGUAUUUGCCCACUGUGCACAACUUUCACCAAAAUGCCGGAUGAAUUUCCUGCGCUGUGAUCAUGUGAUAGUAGAUUUGCUAUUAUUCAAUUUACUUAUUAAUUAUCUUUAGUUCUUCAGUUAUGUUCUUCCUGUUUCAUAAUGAAAGUAGACUUAUGCGAUUCAUUUAUUACUUGAAUGAUAAUGUGUAUCCACGCAUAAAUUCUAAGACUAUUUUUGGAAUCUACCAUUUAUUUUUAUAUCAUAUAAGAGAAUUUAGAAGCUCUGAAUAAGUGAAAUUAAUUUUUGACUAUUUUUCUUGGCAUUUAUGUUAAGUUUGACUAUUACAUGAGGAUAAGAGUUAAGUUUAAUGUUACUGUAGUUGUAGAGUUGACGAGUUGAUAAUACUUUCGAUUUAUUUUUAUGGAAGUUGAAUUUUAUGUUUCACCAUCUGUGCCACAAUCGAAACUAAAAUCAUUUCUCAAUAAAUUUCAAGUAUUCAAUUAGAAACUAUUUUCGAUGUAUGCUUGUAUUAUCAAUUUUUAGUCUUUAUAUUUAUCAAUAUUCCAAUCAUUGAAUAUUUUCAGUUGUGAAAGUUUUUUUAUUUUCUCUACUAUUCUCAUUUCAUAAUCUAACAUGAGAAAAGGGUGAAUUCUGAAUAAAACAAUUUUUAUUCAAUUUAUUUAACAUAAAAUUAUUAUUUCUACAUCAGUGGAACCAAUAAUAAUGAAUAUCAUCCCAAUAAUAUACAGAAUUCGUUAUAAACUAUUAUAAGUUACAUUUUAUUUUGAUCUUAUGGUGGUAUUAGGCGCCUCCUAUGAAGAAAAAUCAUUUUGCAAUUACUAUAAUGUAUUAUAGAAAUAUCUAUAAUAUUAUUUCUACAUCAGUUAUCUAAUAAUACUAAUAAUGAAUAUCAUCCCAAUAAUACACAGAAUACAUUAUAAGCUAUUAUAAGUUACUUUCUAUUUUGAUCUUAUGUUGGGAUCAGGCGCUUCCUAUGAAGAAAAUCAUUCUACUAUUACUACAAUUUAUACGAAAAUAAAUAUCUUCCUAUUUAGCUAGAAUAAUCUAACUAAUUUUGAAAUUUCUCAAGCCUUAAAACUUUGAUAAUUGAUCGCUUAUUGAGUGUUGUGAGUUUAUAUAGAAACUAUAUUGAUGUUCUAUGUUUCCAAAUGCAAUAGGCCUAAUGAGAAAAAUAUGCAAUAAAAAUCUUUCCAAUUUAUUAGAAUAUUAAUUUCCUGGGAACUGAGUUGAAACUGCUGUAGGCUAAUAGUGAAGUAACAAAAUUGAAGUUCAGUCUAUUCGGAAUUAUUCAUACAGUAGCCUACUUACACGUAUAGAUUUAUUUCUUGACUAUGGUAAUCUCAAAUAAUCCUCUUACAACUUAUUACAUUUAUCGUUAUUACUCGUAAAAAUUGUAAACAAUAAAUUUCAAUUACAACAAAACAGAAACUGAAAUUUCCAAUUGAAAAAAAUUAAUUAUUCAUGUCUCGAAAAGUGAACGUUUUUCAAACUUGUCUAUUUGUGUGAUUAUUAUAAUUAUUGUACUAAUGUGUAUUGAGCUACAGUUUCAUUUUAAUAAUGUAAGUUGUGCUAUCAAGAGAAUUGUCAUAAUGAAUGUAUUAUUGUAUCAAUUUGAGACCGUUCUGCAUCGUGUACGGUUUAUUCUCUGUAUACUUCCUAAUGAAUUACUUAAUUGCAUUUUUGUAUUCAACAUUAAUUCGAAGGAUACAUUAUAUUUUCUACAUUGUU